GAGCACAGAGGAGACAGGGAGUGCUUCAUGUAGUCAGUGGCAUAUAAUCUGGAUCUUAGGGUAUGGGGAGGGAGGACUGGAAUAGUUGGCAGUGAGGAGAGACCACUCUGGGUGGCAGAAAUGGCUUGAGCAAAGGUUCAGAUGCAAGGAAGUGCAAGGUGUGACUGAAGCAAGCUCUCUAUAGGGGAACAAUGGGAUGCAGUUCUGAAAAGGCAGAUUGUGGUUAAGGCUUUGAGAGCUGAACUACUAACAAGUUCUUUCUUUAGGUAAUCAGGAGCCAAAGAAAUUAAGUAUGUGUGUGAAAUGAUCAAAGAGAUGCUGUAAUAGUAUUAACGUGGCAGGCAGCAUUCAGGAUGGAUUGGAUGUGGGGAGGGGCUGGAGAGCGAGCAUAGUUGAGAGGCUACAGUGCUGACUGUCUUAGGGAGGUGAGUAGGAGGUAGGUAGGAUGAUGGCAAAGGGAAGAGUGAAGUAGGGGCAGCUGUGAGAUAAGGAAGCUCGUAUUGGAUGGUCUUGGAAGAAGGUCUUGCAUUCAGAGUAAAAGCAUAAGAUCGUGGUGAAGGCUUGAAAAAAAUGUGAGUGGAUUAGAGGAAUUGCAAAUAGAAGCGCAAUUUGGAUUCAAGGCAGAUGAUGAGUGAAGGUACAGAAAAGUUAGAUGACUUGCCCAGGGUCCUUUGGCUGGAAGCUAGCAGAUCUGAGACUUGAGCCAGGCCUCAUCUCUCCAGAGCAGGUCAAAUGAAAUCACUUUAUGGAUCUCAAAACACCAGUGAGCCCUCUCACCACCAGACCCCAUACUGAAGUGCUCCUGAGAGGAGAAGCCACCCAUGGCUGCUGAGCAUCUGGCAUCAAAAUGAGGGCUAACAAUGCCCUCUAACACAAAGUAGCUCCUGGUUCAGUAGCAGUCAUUUAACAGAUGCUGCUUCCCCUGUUGGUUUUGCCCCCAGCCCACUAGAAGUCUCAUGAACUGUUACUUAAUGAGCUAAAACCCACUCCCUAGGUAAGGGAAGCAGAAAAGAUAGAUGUUGUUGCACCAGUUUCAGAUCUCCAGUGAGUGGCGUACCACUGCUCAGACUGACAUAUUUAAUGAAGGACUUUUAAAGCAGUGUUUGCCAAACUGUCAUCUCCAGGCUACCUGCACUGGCAUCACCUGGAUGGCAGCUAACAAUUCAAAUUCCCAGGACCCACUACCAGAGAUUUGUGUAAGAAAAGGUCCCAGACAGGGCCAAGGAAUCUACAUUAACGAGCAUCCUAAAAAAUCACAAGCACACUAAAGCUUAAGAACCCUGAUUCCAAAAUAAAUUUAUUUCCUUCCUGCUCCCUGAGAGUUUCAAAACAUCAGGUCUUUACUCACAUUGGAAUGUAGGGUAUUCCCUGAAAAGCACAGUCAAAAUAGAGCACGGAAUCAAUAUGUAUUUGUUGAGUAUCUGCUGUGUGACAGGCAGUAUAGUGUGGAGGGGAGGGAGGCCCUCUGGAAUGAGGCUGUGGGAGUUCGAACCCCCAUUCUGCCACUUAGCAGUGUGAAAAAUUUGGCAAAUUAAUUAACCUCUUCACAUAUUAGUUUCCUAUUUGUAAAAUGAAGAUGAUAACCACAGCACCUGUCUUAUGGGGUUGUUAAUAAGUUAAACACAUGGAGUGUUCAGAUCACAGCCUGGCCCAAGAUAGGUGCCUAACUAAUACAAUAACUAAGUGUUUACUGUUAUUAUUACUAUGGGAACUGGGAUU
rnacentral:lncRNA from 10 species